CAAAGAGCCGCAUGUGGCUCGCGAGCCGCAGUUUGCCGACUAAGGGCUUAGGGGGUAGGGAAGGUGUCACAGUUGGUUCAGGAGACAGAAGAAUUUUGAAACAAAUGCGAUGAAUAAGCAGAUGGUCCGGGCGUUCGGUUAAAAUGAAAAGCCAAUUUUUGUCUCUUUAUAUCUUUCGGGUAAUCAUUCUAACUCCGGAGUUCCUUAGCCCGAGAACUCGACCCCUAUGUUCCUGGAAACAGUCCUGUGACCUUCUGUACAACACUUCUCAACAGGCCCCCUUUCUCACGUUAAAAAUGAGAAGUCGUCUUGUCUGAAUGUCCACAGCCGCGGAAGGUGCGCUGACUUGGGCUCCCUAGGGAUGCUGACAGGCGCUGAAUGGAAGAAGCCAGCCCAACCCGAACAGCUGGCGGGAUCAGCACUGUUGUCCUGAGAUCUGUGGCUGAUAGAGACGCUGGGGAUGGCCUGGUGAGGGCCCCACAGGCCGCCGCCUGGUGAGAGGGAAGAUACCCCGGGAACAUCCCCGGUGGGCUGACCUGUCUCAGGAGCCCAGCAGACAGCUGAACCGAAAACUCCCUGACCACCAGAUUUGGUUGUUUGGGGGUGCACGGAAACGCCCUGGAGACCUCAGACAUGCGCCAGCCCCUUGAGAAGCAGUAGGUGUCAGAAUGUGAGCCUCGCACCCUAAGAGCGCGAUUCCUUCGGGCCCCACACACGGAUUUUCAUUUUCAACACGUAGCGCCCGACGGAGGGAUCUGAGAUCACGACUCAGAAAACGGGAAAGGUCAGUCUGACUAACACCUCGCCUGGCGUCCUGGGAUCAGCAUCCAAGAGCAACAGAUCCGAGAUGGGCUGCAGGCUCCCGGGAGACAGGCGAUUCCCACGUGUGAGAAGGCCCGGGGGCAAGGCUCCCUGACGUCACCCAAGUUCAGGACCCAGGGCUUUACCUGACACGGGGGUGGGGGCUGGAAUUCUCCCGGAAGAACACCAGAGCCAGGCUGGUGGGUUCAGAGGGAACGCAGCGGGGAGGGAGAGGAGCCCUUUUCUGCUAAUCAAAGGAGAAACCAAAUAAAACGGAGGGAGUCCAAGAAAAAUACAACGCUAUUGUUCUGGGGCAGAAGAUGCUGGCUGGGAGGCUUCGUUGAGCAAUGCCAGUCACACCCUUUCUCUGUGGGACUGCAGGAAUGUUGGCUGUUUCCCUGGAGGCCAGGUGGGAGGUGGGCAGACAGGUCUAUGGAGAUGAGGAGUUCUUGGAGUUGGAACUCUCCGAACAUCCCCAUGGCCUUGCAGCUGGGAGGCGGACACGGAGCAGCAGGAAUGUGGGUUGAAUCAGGGCCAGGAAGCAGCAAUCACGCUCCAAUUCCCCACACUCAGACUUCUCUCCCUCCACUAUGAACGGCAAAGACUCAGUUGGAAAACCUUGGAUGCAGAAUGGCUCGGAGUCACCACAGUGUCCGUCUUGGUGUCGCGGAAACUGCGUCCCUCUGAGAAAGACCGUGUCAUGAGGGUGCUUUCAAUGUUUUCCAAAGAGCUCAUCCUGUGGUUGGAUUUGUUGGUUCUGGGGUCUCUGG